UACGGGGGGGGUAAGCGUUGUUCGGAAUUACUGGGCGGAAAGGGCGCGUAGGCGGCCAACUAAGUCAGACGUGAAAUCCCUCGGCUUAACCGGGGAACUGCGUCUGAUACUGGAUGGCUUGAGUUUGGGAGAGGGAUGCGGAAUUCCAGGUGUAGCGGUGAAAUGCGUAGAUAUCUGGAGGACCACCGGUGGCGAAGGCGGCAUCCUGGACCAACACUGACGCUGAGUGAGCGAAAGCCAGGGGAGCAAACGGG
rnacentral:rRNA from 1 species